UACGGGGGGGGGCAAGCGUUGUUCGGAAUUACUGGGCGUAAAGGGUUCGUAGGUGGCUUGCUAAGUCAGACGUGAAAUCCCUCAGCUUAACUGGGGAACUGCGUCUGAGACUGGCAAGCUUGAGUGCAGGAGAGGAACGCGGAAUUCCAGGUGUAGCGGUGAAAUGCGUAGAUAUGCGGAGGAACACCGAUGGCGAAGGCAAUCCCCUGGACCUGUACUGACGCUCAUGCACGAAAGCGUGGGGAGCAAACAGG
rnacentral:rRNA from 1 species